rnacentral:rRNA from 1 species
AACGAACGUUGGCGGCGUGGAUUAGGCAUGCAAGUCGAACGCGAAUCCCUGGGCAACUGGGGAGGAGAGUGGCGAAAGGGGCAGUAAGGCGUGGGUAACCUACCCUCCGGGCCGGGAUAGCUUCGGGAAACUGAAGGUAAUACCGGGCGACGCAGCGAGAUCGCAUGGUCUUGCUGCCAAAGGUCCGCCGCCGGGGGAGGGGCUCACGUGGUAUUAGCUAGACGGCGGGGUAACGGCCCACCGUGGCAAAGAUGCCUAGCAGGUGUGAGAGCACGACCUGCGCCACUGGCACUGAGACACUGGCCAGACACCGACGGGUGGCUGCAGUCGAGGAUCUUCGGCAAUGGGCGCAAGCCUGACCGAGCGACGCCGCGUGUGCGAUGAAGGCCUUCGGGUUGUAAAGCACUGUCGAGGGGGAGGAAGCCGCAAGGUUGACCUAUCCCUGGAGGAAGCACGGGCUAAGUUCGUG